rnacentral:miRNA from 1 species
UACCUCGUUGACCGGAAGGCUUUCCUUUCGGUCAACGAGGAUGUACCUCUUGAUCGGAAGGAAACCUUUCCGAUCAGGGAGGUACAUCUACCUCGUUGAUCGGAAGGGUUUCCUUCCAAUCAACGAGGUACAUCCUCGUCGACCGGAAGGAAACCCUUCCGGUCAACGAGGCA